rnacentral:lncRNA from 1 species
UCAAAGGUCAGAUGGCUAUGAUAGCUGCCUUCCUUGCAAAAAAGUUUCCUGGAGAGAGCUUGAGAAAUGAACUGGAUUCUACAACGGAAAGUUAUCAUGUUAGCUUAUGAAACCCAGUUAUAUUUGUGCAAAGAUGAAAUUAAUGAACACUGAUGUGCUAUUACAAUAAUUUUAUUGCAGGUCACUUUAUCUGAAAGAGGUAACAAUAUACAAUGUGAAUCUUAUAAUGUCCUUCAACAAUCAAAUGAUGAUGUGCAAGAGCCAGGAACUACCAUGCAGGUAAUGUAAUGGGAUUUUCCAAUACCUAUUUAAUGCAUGUCCAUGCUAAUGUCUUAAAACUAUUGCUUUAACAGGAGCUGCAGCAGACCAAAUCAAAACAGGUUUGUAGUAAUGCGCAUUUACCACAUGAACAAGUGAUCGCUAAGGUGUGUCAACUAACUUGUACUCAUUUAAUUAUCAAUUAUCUCCCGCUAGUAGUUUCAGGAUUGGUUGAACCCUUAUACAGUAUGCCCUCAAAGUUGAAAUUCUGGCUUGUUGUCUUUUCUCGGUAGGAAAACCUUUAAAGGAAAAAUAAUAACUAAAAUGGUAUCCAUUCUUCUAACACAAAAUUACACACACUUUGGUGUGUGUGAGAGAAAAUUAAAGGGGUGUUCCAGUCCAAACUCCAGAGCCAUGUGCAAUCAUUUUCUCAUAUCUUAUCAGCAAUAGCCUAGAUACUUAUUCUACCGAACAAAUAUUUGUGGAAGUCAUGUUCUAAGAGCACAUGAAAAGUCAUACCAGGAAACCAAUAGCUUGUCUAAUAUGUUUAAGCUCAUCCCAGGCAGAACCUGCAUACUCCAAGUACGAAAACACUAGAUGAGAUAAUCUCGAAAAAAAAUACUAGAUGAGAAAUCAAUAUUUGAGGCAACUUUGUUACAACUAUUAAUCAACUGAGAAACUUCUUGGCAUAAUGAACAUGACAAAAUUAUCUUAUUUGUACUUCAUUUUGCCAUUGAUCACUGUAAAUAAUAUAACAGGAUUUAGGCACAACUAUAUGGUCUAGAACAAUAUGCAGGACUAAAGCCCAUUAAGAAAAACAGAUGCUACCAUAGCUCUACCGCCCCUUAUUUAACAGCAUUUUAAGAUGUGUGACAGAAAUAGCUAUAUUUACCUCGUCAGUAGCUCUAUAGCACCAAUGCUCAAGUUCAGCUAAUCCUGCUUUUACGUACUCGCCGUUACUGAAUGAGCAGACUCCCUUCUUAAUAGAAGACUCUCUCCCCAGCGAGUUCUCUCUCCCUAGCGAGCUCUCUCUCCGCCGCCGCCCCNNN